GUGCCAGCCGCCGCGGUAAUACGGAAGGUCCGAGCGUUAUCCGGAUUUAUUGGGUUUAAAGGGAGCGCAGGCGGAAUGUUAAGUCAGCUGUGAAAUCCCGUCGCUCAACGGCGGAACUGCAGUUGAUACUGGCUUUCUUGAGUGCACAUAAGGAUGGUGGAAUUCGUGGUGUAGCGGUGAGAUGCUUAGAUAUCACGAAGAACUCCGAUUGCGAAGGCAGCCAUCUGGGGUGCAACUGACGCUGAGGCUCGAGAGUGCGGGUAUCAAACAGGAUUAGAUACCCUGGUAGUCCGCACAGUAAACGAUGAAUACUCGCUGUCGGCGAUAUACUGUCGGCGGCCAAGCGAAACAUUAAGUAUUCCACCUGGGGAGUACGCCGGCAACGGUGAAACUCAAAGGAAUUGACGGGGGCCCGCACAAGCGGAGGAACAUGUGGUUUAAUUCGAUGAUACGCGAGGAACCUUACCCGGGCUUGAACUGCACCCGACGGACAAAGAGAUUUGUCUUCGCAAGGCGGGUGUGGAGGUGCUGCAUGGUUGUCGUCAGCUCGUGCCGUGAGGUGUCGGCUUAAGUGCCAUAACGAGCGCAACCCUUCUCUUCAGUUGCCAUCAGGUAGAGCUGGGCACUCUGGAGACACUGCCAUCGUAAGAUGCGAGGAAGGUGGGGAUGACGUCAAAUCAGCACGGCCCUUACGUCCGGGGCUACACACGUGUUACAAUGGGAGGUACAGAAGGCCGCGACCCGGCGACGGGAAGCCAAUCCCCAAAUCCUCUCUCAGUUCGGACUGGAGUCUGCAACCCGACUCCACGAAGCUGGAUUCGCUAGUAAUCGCGCAUCAGCCAUGGCGCGGUGAAUACGUUCCCGGGCCUUGUACACACCGCCCGU
rnacentral:rRNA from 1 species